rnacentral:rRNA from 1 species
UAGCGUAUUCGUUUGACGUUAGCGACAGAAGAAAGCACCGGCUAACUCCGUGCCAGCAGCCGCGGUAAUACGGAGGGUGCGAGCGUUAAUCGGAAUUACUGGGCGUAAAGCGCAUGCAGGUGGUUUGUUAAGUCAGAUGUGAAAGACCCGGGGCGUCAACCUCGGAAUAGCAUUUGAAACUAGGCAGACUAGAGUACUGUAGAGGGGGGUAGGAAUUUCAGGUGUAGCGGUGAAAUAGCGUAGAGAUCUGAAGGAAUACCGGUGGCGAAGGCGGCCCCCUCGGACAGAUACUGACACUCAGAUGCGAAAGCGUGGGGAGCAAACAGGAUUAGAUACCCUGGUAG